rnacentral:lncRNA from 1 species
ACUGGAGAAGGCCGCAGGGACCUCUGCCUAGGAAAGCCAGAAAAACUCACUACCCAGCCCACAGGCAGAGAAGGGAGUGGAGGCGGCCAGCGGUGUGUCUCAGAAGAGCUGUAAAUACUGUGCUGACACAGGGUGAGAAGGACCUUCCCACUGUGCUCACAUUCCAGGGUAGGAGGGUCCUCUCAUGGUGAUGACUCCUGUGAAGGGGAAGAUGGGACAAAGAAAGAAGUAGGAGUUGAGGGGGGUUGGGAGGAGUGCAGCUUUCCCUUAAAGAAUUUGAUAGUGAUAUAGAUAUGACUGCAAUAAUGAUAAUUUUGAAAUGGCAGCUAUGGAAUAUACAAGAGAAAGGAGGGCCUGAUUGGAGAUUAAACAUCUAAUAAUUGCCCUGGGGCAAGAGUUGGAGGGAAGAUUCUGAAACAAUGUUUAGAAUCCCAUUUAUACACCAAGCACUCCUGCAUGGGGCAGGAUUUUGGUAAACCCCAGGUAUGUAUACCCCAAAGUAUGCAUGUAACCACAACUUGAGGCCUUAUUUACAUAAGUGCCUGUAUUACUUAAAUAAGUUCAAUACAUCAAAAAAUAAGUAUGAGGCUUUUGUCAACUCUGUCAUUACCUAAACUUGAUCCAGAUAGCUAAAAACAGAAGUUCUCUCUUGCUACUUUAUAAAUAGACUUCAUAAAGAAAUACAGCCCAAACUUUAAUGCAUACAGAUAUCCCUAUAAAAUACUUAUUAGAAAUGUGGUUUUGCAGGUUCCAUCUGUGAGAUUUGAGGGUUGAUCUGAGGUAGAACUCAAGGAUUUGAAUUUAAAAAAGCACUCUUUGCUUCAGGUUGCAUGUAACCACAAUUGGAGAAAUGCUUUCUACUAAGCCAAAGGUAAAUUGGCACUGCCAAUUGCUACUUCACAGAAAGUAAAAAUGAUGUUGAGAGGAAAGCAAGGAAGUAUGGGAUCUUGUGCUGCUGUUGUUACCUGGCUGCUCCAAAGAACCAUAAGAUUAUAACCAACUCAUCUUGGUUUGCCUGGGAUUUUCCUGGUUUAUCACUGAAAUUCCUGUAUCCUGGAAGACCCUUGAGCCCCAAGCAAACUAGGACAGUUGGUCACCUACUGAAGAAACUUCCUUAAAAAAGAGUUUGCACAGUUGUAGCUACCAGAAGAAAGCUCAGCAAAGAUUCAAAGUCCUUCUAAAAUGAUCCAGAUUGAGAAUACCAGCUGCUGGGGAAUCAUUAUUAGGCAUUACAUCAAGAGGAGGCAUCAAAAAUCCAACAGGAGAAGCUACCUUUGCUAACAAUAGCGAAGAGGCAGAAUUCAGAAUUCUUACUGAUUGGAGUCAUCACAAGAUUAUAUUAUAUUACAUUAUUAUAUUAGAUUAGAUGGUUUCUCCUGCUAGAAGCAACUUUUAUUUUUUUUAACUUUAGCAGUCUUUUAUUUCCAAAAUGAGUAAAUCAAUGGACAAAAAAGAAAUAGGAAGAAAAUGAAUUUGGCAUAACUCAUUACUAGAAAAGCAAUGUUCAUUUUGAAUAAUGGGAAACUGAAUUUGUGUGAAUUUGUGUGACAUCAUCCAAAGCCUCCAAUUUCACCAAUGUCAUUCCUUUGCAUCUGAGUCACACAGUUGGUAGUUUUUCACUUUAACUCUUCCAAAAUAAAAGUAAAUAAAAAUAUUCUAUUAGGAAACCUGAUAAAUUUUGAAACCCAAAAGCUCAAGCCAGUUCUAUAGACCUUGAAUUUUUCAACCUAGCACUAAAAUUGUCAGUAAUGGAUUGGAUAGAAUACAGGCUUACACAGAAACAAACAUGGUUGACUUUUUCCAGACACAGAAAAUAAGGUUACCAAUGUUAUAAAAUCUCUAAGUUGUAUCUACUUGGAGAUACUGUGCUUGAUAUCAGUGGUCCCGAUUUCAUUAGGAGAAAUCUGAUCAUCUUUCUGGAAUUGAAAACUGGAAAUGGCCCAGCUGGAUUUCCUUUUAGAAGACACAAGGUUUCUUGAAAUGAGCUAUCCAAAAGUAAGAUAUUCCUUUCUUGCACCAGUAAAGACUGAAUGAGCCUGAACAGGUGUUGCAUAAAUGACCACUUGAUCACCCAAAUGCAUGAGCCUCUCUUCUUUCUGGAUACAAGGUCAAGCCAAAUCAUGUUUUCUUGCCUCCCUUUUACUUAUGUGUGGCCAUGUACUAAAUUCUAGCCAAAAGAAAGGAAGCAGAAAUGAUAUGUGCUACUACCAAGAUUGGACUAUGAAAACCUACUACACAUUCUCCUCAAUGUAUGCUUCACUUCAAGUCUACCAAGAUGGUGGCUUACAGGGUAUCGAAAUCUGCUGAAGAUGAGAGAACCUGCAUUCACCUGGGAGCCCGAAUGACUGUUAAGAAGGUCGCCUGUCCAGUUGAUCACUUGACUGGUUUAUGUGGGGAAAAAUAUAUUCAGCAAGAGCUGAUAUGGUUUCAGGAGUAUUGCUAGAGAAGUUAGCCUACUUUCACCAAUUUGAACAAAAGCCGAAGAUAGGCUGCAUUAUGAAGGCACUGUUUCUAGGGCUUGCUGUAAAAGAUGAUAUCCAGGUAAUGAGCAUUCGUGAGGGCAGGUGAUGCCUUUUGCUAUGUGCCAUGUCAAUGCACAAGACAGACAUACUUUCUCUAAGGCAGUCUAUUUCCAGCAGAGAGUUUUCUUAAGUGUGAAAAGAUAUUGCAGUAGACAAGCAAGAUUUCUUUUUAUUUCUGCUAAAGGUAAUAAACAUUAAGGUCUCAUUUUAAAAAAUAUAAAUAAAUUGAAUUAUAGGUGAAAAGGAAUGCAUCAUGCUGCUACUUAACAUUUCUUUGAUUUCCCCAAAUGGAAAUUAUGAUUAAGCCUAAGUUUUAAGUUAUAAGUCAUUUGAGACGCUUCUGAAUGUUGUCUCCAAAUUUGUCUCCAUAUUUGAAGAACUAUGUAUUUCUCCAAGGACUCAUAAAGUGGAGAGCGGUCAAAUGUGCCAACAGCCUAAGAAAAGGAAAACUUUUAAGUGAAGGAAAUGUUGCUAAUAAGUGGAAAGGUUACGUUUUAUUGAGUAUACACAUUUAUGGUCAUAGUUUUAAGUUUCGCUUCAAGCAGCAUUGCCAAGAUUAAAGUUAUAAUUAAAUCCCCAUUUUAUAAAGAUGUCAGUUAGUUUUUUCAGUGAUUUUAUGAUUUAAUUAAGGACUAGGACAACUUAUUGCAAGCAUGAGUAGUUUUAAUAGUAAAAUAUAGUUUAGAUUACUAACUUGAUGUUCCAGAGGGACUGCUUCCUUGUGAAAGGGUAAUUCACUGUAAGACUUCCUUAUGUUCAAACCUGUUCUCUCUUCAUGCAGUGUAUUUUAUGACUCAGUUUUGUGGUUUCCACAUACAACUAUCCUAAUAGCAGCUGCUUCCCAACCUCCCCCCACCACACACACACACACACACACACACACACACACACACGUUUUUGUCUUACAGAUUUAGUUCUUUACUUGUGGUGAAACUAUUAGAAUAGAGGCAAAAUGCUACAUGAAUCUACAAAGAUAUACGUCUUCUAAUGAAAAUAGUAAUUACUUUUUCAUAAUUUCACAAAAUGAAUAAGCCUAAACAAACAAGACACAUGCAAUGACCAGAGGAAAAAAGAGGCAAUUCCUAAAACACAUGUACAAAGCUUCGUUUACACUGAGCUCCGGCCUUUUUUUGCCUCUUAAGGAAAUUUGUUUCAGUGGAGGAGUUGUGAGAGUACUUGUCACAUACAGGUAUCAGCUUUUUCCUACCACAAAGGAAAGAAAAAGAAAAGAAGCUGAUGAACCUGAUUAAUAAUAAUUUAGGGUGGCAGACGUAGAAGGGAGUCAGAGAUUCAUCCAGUGCAUUUUUAUAAUCUAAUAUUGGACAAAACUAAAUACACGUACAGGAUCACAAGAUGCCUUAACGGAGUCUAUAUUGGACAUACAAAGACUUGAUGAUUAAAGCUCUUAAAAACAGACAUCUGGUAAAUCUAUGACUGGUAAGUGUGUGUGUGUGUGUGUGUGUGUGUGUGUGUGUGUGUGUGUGUGUGUGUAGAGAGAGAGAGAGGGAGAUAGAAAGAGAGCAGAGGGAGAGCGCACACACAUACAACAGUCUGUGGCUUGGAUGGUCUAGGCACUUGGAGGAUAUGCAAAGUAUGAACCUAAAUUUUAAGAACCCUCUACCAAAUUGGGAAACAAGACUCAUGCAAUGAAACAAUAAAGUAAUACAAGAAAAUAAGAUGUGAUUUAAUGGCAAAACAAAACAACAUGUUAUUGGGGGAAAAAUAAAAGAGCACUUCCUAUUAUAUAAAAUUUGAAGCUGUUAGUCAGCUCUGCAGUACCUAGUUCUUUGACACUGAUAAAUUUCCUUAAAUUUUCUAAGGUAUUAAACUACAUGAUCUCCAAAAUUCCGAAUUUCCUUAGAUUAUCUAAGGUAUUGGACUACAUGAUCUCUGAAAUUCCUUACGCCUGGAAAUUCUAAGACUUUAAUUUUAAAGAUAAUCAGACUAGGAAGUGAACAAAUGUGUCCUCAGAGGGAAUAGGACAUGAAAUGAGCCUCAAAGAAAAAAUAGGUUUCACAAAGUGUUCAAGGACAAGGUAGGCAUCCAAACAUGAAAUGAAAAAAAAAAAAAAACCACAAAAUAUAUAUCUGAUAUGAUGAAUGAUGUGGCAUGUCCACUUUUCCAUGACAAGUCAUCUGAGUGGAACACAUAAUCCAUGUCAGAGGCAGUCGCCACAUAUUAGAUCUUGGCAUGUUUUGAAAACCAGGGUGAGAAUUUGACCAUCACAUUUAAAAGGUGAUAGGAGGAACACAGCUGGAAAAUGACAGAGAAAGAACCAAAUGUUGAGGAAGAAGUUGAGGUAAUGAAAUGAAACAGAAUUAAUAGAGAACCAAAAUGAUACCACAAUGGUCUGGGGAUAGUGUUGAAAAGAAUAGCCAAUCAAAUAGUAGGUUUUUGAAUAAAAAUAUAAAUGUGUCAAAUGAGAUAGAGACAUACUGGUUCCAAGCUAUUCCCAAGUCAAAAGAAAAUGGAAAUUUAAAGCGGUGCUGUGCUUGCUUACUUCAUAAACAAAGAGAAGACUAUUGUAAUCAGUAGCACCUUUGCUUCCUCCAUCCCGUGUCCAUAUAAAAGCAGUCAUUGGCACAACCACUGUUAUUGCCAAUAGAAGGGAGAAACAUAAAAUAAAAUAAAAUAAUAAUUACAUGUAGUUUCUAAAUGUUUGCAAUUUAUGUAUUCAAAACUGAAUAUAUUUUUAUAACAAAAAUUAAUUUUAAAAAGGGAGUGUUUAACAUAGGCACUGAUUAAAAUAAUGAUGUGUAUAAGGCAAUGCUAGCCAUAUCAUUAUGGGUGAGAAGUUUUGUGCUAUAGUCAAUAAUCUGAUUUUUUAAAUCUUUAAAUUUCCCAUAGCUUCAGGCAUGAAAGGAGGACUUUGUGUGUAUCAGCGGAAGAAAGAGAGGGAGGUUCUUGCCGUUACACUGCAGAAAUUAACAAAAUUUGGCCUACUCAGAGGCAGUUAAGCGAAGAACAUCAUGAUUACUUAUAGUUUGUGGAAACAAAAAUAAAAGCCACUAUGCUAUAAAAGAAACAAAAUUAAUCUGAUGCAGAGGAGCAAAGAGAAUUUAACACUUCCUGUAUGUGAAAAACUGCUAAGCCAAAAUUGGUUAGCAGCCGUUGUUUUCUGUAGACAGGAAGCAAGAAUUAACUUAAAUUGUAGCUUGCUAUUAAGUUAAAUAUAAGGAAGUGUUCAUUUACUAUGCAAAUUAUUUCCAAAUACAGGAAAGAAAUACAAAACAUGAGAAAAUUAUGGAAUGAGUUUUCAUAGCCAUACUAAGAAAUGGAAAAGUAAGAACAACCCUUAAGGGCUUAAAGGCGAAGAUAUUACUUAACUCUAAUGGAAAGGCCAUGUAAGAUAUUGGCUGGGCAUACUGCUACCUUCUGGGAAGCUCUCUGUAAAGGUGAGUUUAACUGUGAGAUGGGGACAGUACAUCUCAGGUGAGUAACUGUGAGGUGGGGAUCUAAUUCAUAGGGAGAAAUUUAAGUGUAAGUCAAUGAUUUAAAUCACUUAAAAUUUUGCCUACCCACCCUCCCCGACCCAGGGAACAUUGAGCAAUGUCUGGAGACAUGUUUGGUUGUGACAACUUGGGGACAUUUCUGCCAUCAAGUGCCAGAAGUAAGGAUCUUGCUAAACAUCCUGCAAUGCACAGGACAGCCCCCUACAAAAAAGAGUUAUUUGGCCCCAAAUGCCAACGGUAGCACCGUUGAGCAGGUCCUGAAUGAGGAGAAGCCAUGAGUCAGCCAAAGCCAUGGACACAACAAAAGAGAGUAGGGACAUUUAGCCUGUAGAGCACUAACAGUAAAAGCCAAAACAGACAGAAGCUUAGCUGACUGUCCACAGUGGCAGAGGUCUUGUAUGGAACAACGGAAGCCUACUUUUUAGAAGAAAAUGGGUCGUCCAAAGGGAAUCAAGUCUCUAGAACUAUCCUGAACCGUGACUCAUAUUGAAGUUCUCCCCAAAACCUGCUGAGACAUGUUCCUUUUCCUUACUGACGAACCUGUAAAAUAAACUCCUCUUACCUGUUAUACAGUAAGUAUGCCUCUUUUAUAUUUUUGUAUGCUGAAAUAUCCUAAAAGAACCUCCAAGUUUAAUUAUUUAUGUAUUAUAGUCUUAUGCUCUUUAGUAUUGAAUAUACAUUUAAAUACUAAUAAAAUAUUUUACCCAAAUCAUUUAUUCAUUUCUCAGAAUAUAUUCAAGUUGGUUCCCAUAUAUAUUGUUUUCCUGUACAUGGUAAAAUUAAACUUAUAGUACUGGCAUUGAUCCUUAAACAGGAUAUUCAAGAGCUGUUGAGUUAAAAUAAUUAAGAUUAUUUAAUAUGAAGAUGGACACAG